rnacentral:rRNA from 1 species
UGGGGAAUAUUGCACAAUGGGCGCAAGCCUGAUGCAGCCAUGCCGCGUGUAUGAAGAAGGCCUUCGGGUUGUAAAGCACUUUCAGCGGGGAGGAAGGCGUUAAGGUUAAUAACCUUGGCGAUUGACGUUACCCGCAGAAGAAGCACCGGCUAACUCCGUGCCAGCAGCCGCGGUAAUACGGAGGGUGCAAGCGUUAAUCGGAAUUACUGGGCGUAAAGCGCACGCAGGCGGUUUGUUAAGUCAGAUGUGAAAUCCCCGGGCUCAACCUGGGAACUGCAUCUGAUACUGGCAAGCUUGAGUCUCGAAGAGGGGGGUAGAAUUCCAGGUGUAGCGGUGAAAUGCGUAGAGAUCUGGAGGAAUACCGGUGGCGAAGGCGGCCCCCUGGACGAAGACUGACGCUCAGGUGCGAAAGCGUGGGGAGCAAACAGG